rnacentral:rRNA from 1 species
GACGAACGCUGGCGGCGUGCUUAACACAUGCAAGUCGAACGGAAAGGCCUCGUUCGGGGGGUACUCGCGUGUCGAACGCGUGAGUAACACGUGAGUAACCUGCGCUUGACUUUGGGAUAAAUUCAGGAAACUCGGGCGAUUACCGGAUAGGAGCUCCUGCUGCGUGGUGGGGGUUGGAAAGUUUCGGCGGUUUGGGAUGGACUCGCGGCUUAUCACCUUGUUGGUGGGGUAUUGGCUUACCAAGGCUUUGACGGGUAGCCGGCCUGGGAGGGUGAACGGGCACAAUGGGACUGGGAUACGGCCCAGACUCCUACGGGAGGCAACAGUGGGGAAUAUUGCACAAUGGGUGGAAGCCUGAUGCAGGAACGCCGGGUGGGGGAUGACGGGCUUCGGGUUGUAAACCGCUUUCGCUCAGGACGAAGCUUUGUGUGACGGUAGUGGGUAAAGAAGCACCGGCUAACUACGUG